UAUGGUAAGUGCCAGCAGCCGCGGUAAUACGGAGGAUCCGAGCGUUAUCCGGAUUUAUUGGGUUUAAAGGGAGCGUAGGUGGACUGGUAAGUCAGUUGUGAAAGUUUGCGGCUCAACCGUAAAAUUGCAGUUGAUACUGUCAGUCUUGAGUACAGUAGAGGUGGGCGGAAUUCGUGGUGUAGCGGUGAAAUGCUUAGAUAUCACGAAGAACUCCGAUUGCGAAGGCAGCUCACUGGACUGCAACUGACACUGAUGCUCGAAAGUGUGGGUAUCAAACAGG
rnacentral:rRNA from 1 species